UACAGAGGGUGCAAACGUUGCUCGGAAUUAUUGGGCGUAAAGCGCGUGUAGGCGGCUUGUUAAGUUGGUCGUGAAAGCCCAUGGCUCAACCAUGGAAGUGCAACCAAAACUGGCAAGCUUGAGUUCUGAAGAGGAUGGCGGAAUUCCCAGUGUAGAGGUGAAAUUCGUAGAUAUUGGGAGGAACAUCGGUGGCGAAGGCGGCCAUCUGGGAAGCGACUGACGCUGAGACGCGAAAGCGUGGGUAGCAAACAGG
rnacentral:rRNA from 1 species